CGCUGGCGGCGUGCCUAAUACAUGCAAGUCGAGCGGACUUGAUGAGAAGCUUGCUUCUCUGAGAGUUAGCGGCGGACGGGUGAGUAACACGUAGGCAACCUGCCUGUAAGACUGGGAUAACUACCGGAAACGGUAGCUAAUACCGGAUAGGUGAUUUUUCUCGCAUGAGGAAGUCAAGAAAGACGGAGCAAUCUGUCACUUACGGAUGGGCCUGCGGCGCAUUAGCUAGUUGGUGAGGUAAUGGCUCACCAAGGCGACGAUGCGUAGCCGACCUGAGAGGGUGAACGGCCACACUGGGACUGAGACACGGCCCAGACUCCUACGGGAGGCAGCAGUAGGGAAUCUUCCGCAAUGGACGAAAGUCUGACGGAGCAACGCCGCGUGAGUGAUGAAGGUUUUCGGAUCGUAAAGCUCUGUUGCCAGGGAAGAACGUCUUAGAGAGUAACUGCUCUAAGAGUGACGGUACCUGAGAAGAAAGCCCCGGCUAACUACGUGCCAGCAGCUGC
rnacentral:rRNA from 1 species